UCCGGUUUGGCACCGGCAGUCUCCCAUGAGUCCCCGGCAUGACCCGCUGGCAACAUGGGACAGGGGUUGCGCUCGUUGCGCCACUUAAGGCAACACCUCACGGCACGAGCUGACGACAGCCGUGCAGCACCUGUGCGGGCUCCCGAAGGACACCGUAUCUCUACGGCUUUUCGCCACAUGUCAAACCCAGGUAAGGUUCUUCGCGUUGCAUCGAAUUAAAGAACAUGCUCCGCUGCUUGUGCGGGCCCCCGUCAAUUCUUUUGAGUUUUAGCCUUGCGGCCGUACUCCCCAGGCGGAACACUUAACGCGUUGGCUGCGGCACAGGAGGAUUCGACUCCCCCCACACCUAGUGUUCAUCGUUUACGGCUAGGACUAC
rnacentral:misc_RNA from 1 species